GAUCAUGGCUCAGGAUUAACGCUGGCGGCGUGCCUAAUACAUGCAAGUCGAAUGGUAGCAAUACCAUGGCGAACGGGUGAGUAACACGUAGGUAACCUGUCUUUAAGCCGAGGAUAACCAUUGGAAACGAUGGAUAAUACUGGAUAGGAUAUUUUAAGGCAUCUUUUAAUAUUUAAAGAUUUAUCACUUAGAGAGGGGCCUGCGGCGCAUUAGCUAGUUGGUGAGGUGAAGGCUUACCAAGGCGAUGAUGCGUAGCCGGACUGAGAGGUUGAACGGCCACAAUGGAACUGAGAACGGUCCAUACUCCUACGGGAGGCAGCAGUAGGGAAUUUUCGGCAAUGGGCGGAAGCCUGACCGAGCAACGCCGCGUGAACGAAGAAGUAUUUCGGUAUGUAAAGUUCUUUUAUUAGGGACGAAAAGACAGAUUGACGGUACCUAAUGAAUAAGCUCCGGCUAACUACGUGCCAGCCGCCGC
rnacentral:rRNA from 1 species